AAAGCGAAAUACAUAUACACAUGUACACAAGUUAUGGUUCAAUAGACUACUCGGUUACACUGGGGGCUGACGAGGUAUAAGCGUAGUCCGUUUCGCUACGAAGUCGGGUAUAUGUUUUACUACGAAAACAUGUGUACUUACACAUGACAUCGAAGAACGGAUUAGUGGAAAUUUGUGUUUAAAACAGAGUCAUGGAGUGGCUGGAUGUUUCCUUUGAGGAAGGGAUAGUAACAACGGCACAACAUGAUCCGACGCGCACAGUCGACAUGGUAAUGCACAUUAUUAUGAUAUAAUUAAAUUCACGACUAGGCCAAAGGAAACGAUCAAAAUCGAAAAUCCAUAUAUAAGACGACAGUUGAGAGUCGAGAACCUAUUGUCGUCGGUCUAAAUAAAAAUUACGCAUCUUCACCUUUACUCCUAUAAAUAUGAAGUCGAUUUACAUCGUAAGCGGGGUAGCUUACGUCUAAUUAUUUGGACUACUUCACCUUGUGACAAUCCCUUAUACGUUCUUUUGGAUAGAGACCGACGAUAGGUUUUUAGCAUACGGUAUUCUUUAUUAAAUAACAUUCGAUGCUCGUUAUGGUUAUGUUAUCUCGAAACUCUGCUUAUGUCAAAGUAAAUCCCAUGUCCCAACUUCGAUCCUUCUUUAUCUCACACGGAUUUUGAUUUUUACAUUUUAUCUGUCAAAGCGAUUUUCUUGAAAAUCGGGUCGACUACUAAUUUUGAGCUGAAUUUCGUGUUCGUAUACAUGAUUUUACUUGUAAAAUCAACACCUGUAACAGCCGUAAGGAGUGGAAAGUAGGACCCCAAUGGCACAAAUCCGCAAUUUCCUAAUCAAUGUAUUGUUGUUAAGGCUUGACAGUGGGUUUCUGUCACAGGUUAUUGUUUACUGUGUACAUGACGGCCGGUAAAUUUACCUCGUGUUACAAUGCGGUUAAGGUCCGGUCUCACUAUGAUGCCGGCGGAGCCCCGGUGCGUGAUCAGGCAUCUACCGGGAUGAACCGGGGCCAUACGGGGAUGAACCGGUGCUCCACCGGGAUGAACAGUAGACGACCGGGGACAACCGGGGCUACACCGGUGAGCUGUACAGGUGUUUUGAUUGCUGUUCAUGGGAGACUACGUGCCUCACAUGCUUGCGGUUGAGGCAAAAACAUCCUCAUCUGCAUAUGUUUGAAAUUUGAAAGGAUUCUCCCUCCCUGAUAUCAAAGCUUGCUAGAGCAGAGGAUAUAGAAAAAUAAGCAAGGAGGAUCAUCUAGAAAUAUUUGAACCUUUUGGAGGAGUAACAACUGAAUGUCUAAAGGAAUGGAUAGAUUAUGAGUGGGUUGUGUGUAUCCGCAGCAUAUCAACUGAAAAUCACUCCUUGUCACCUGCUGAAGAGUAUUAUCUAGUCCUGGAGGAGCUAACAAAAUACAGGCUAGAGAAACAACUGUAAAUGAAGGGGAAGAAUGCUGAUGUCAAUUUUGACUCAACAAAUUUGUAUUACCCGCGGACACUCUAGACUGCAAAAGAGAAACUAAGACUUCAGAUACUGGAGACCCAUCAACAGACCACUGCAGAGAGGCUGUAUUGUUAGAUUUGAUAAAAAAGUAUGCAAGAGGACAAGCUGUAGCCAUAAGAUUGGGCAAGCAGCUGAAGAAAACAAACAAAAAAUCAGAGAACAGCUGUCAUUGUACAACGGGGUUGGCGGGGAAGUCGUUAAAAUGCCAACACAUAAGCCAUUCGAUGAUGUAAAGUCGUGCGACAGCAAUCUGUGGGACAUUCUGAAGUCAUUAGAUGUAGGUGCUCGGAGGACCAGUGUGCCUGUGUCAGUAAAACAGAAAGAUUUUGUACUGUACUGCAUGACACAGAGAGCUGCAGAAGAAAAGGAACUUGUGAAAUCAAAAAUUGAGUCAACAUUGCUUUUCUAUUUCAAUAAACAUUCGGGUUUGUUAAACAAGGUCCUGAAUAAUGUUAGUGGAGAAACGGCAGUCAUAAUCAAAGAAGGGCUUUAUGUUGAAAUGAAAUUUACUUCAUUACUGAAGGCAUUCCAGUAAUAUCUUCCUGACUUUGCUUUCUGAUUUUGCACAAGAAGUUGAUCUAACCAGCGUUCAAGAGGCUCGUAUUUCAGAAAUAAAUGAUGGGAACUUACCAGAAUAUGAGUUAGAACCAUCUGAAGCAACUGAUGCAAUACUCAGUGAUGACAAUGUAACAGACAGUGAUAGUGACAAUGACUCUGAUGGUGACAAUUAAAUGUUUAAAAGACAUCAUUGACUCAAACGCAAUAUUGGCUUAAUUUCCAGUUGUCUCAAUCUACUUGUUCGCCAUAAGUGUUCUAAGAUAAGACGAACAACUGUGCUAUGGCUUUUUUUAAUGCUCUUGUUUGUAGCUCACCUGAGCACAAUAAGAGCUUUUGGGAUCGCCUUUUGUCAAUUGUGGGUUGUGCGGCGUAAACAUUUGCCUUGUUAACAUUGUCCGAUUUUCAUGAAAUGUGGUCAGAACAUUUGUGCCAAUGAAAUCUUGGAAGUGUUUGAAAUUGUUUCUAAUAGGUUGUAAAACAUGGCUGCCAUGGGACAGGGCAUUUUUCCUUAUAUGGCGUUAGUAAAAUUGUGUAAACACACUAGAGGCCACAUUUAUUGUCCGAUCUUUUGUAGCUUGUUAACUAAAUAUUUAUUUGUCCCCUACCAGUGAAAACGGAGGGGACUUAUGUUUUGCUCUCUGUCAGUUAGUCCAUCUGUCUGUCACACUUUUCUGGAUCCUGCGAUACUUUAAAAGUUCUUCAUAUUUUUUCAUGAAACUUGAGACAUAGAUAGAUAGCAAUAUGGAGAUUAUGCACGUCAUUAUGCUCCCCGAAAAUUUUCGGGAAGCAUAUAGUUGCCAGUUUGUCCUUACUUCCAUACUUCCUUACUUCCGUCACACUUUUGUUACAGUUUCUCAUAGCACCUUCAAUACUUUACCGAUCUCUUUCAUAUUUGGCAUAUAGGUACAUUGCAUGGACCUCUACCUUUUGAUGAGGUUUUAGGUCACUGGGGUCAGGGUCACCGAGGCUAAUAAUAGAUUUUUCAGUCACACUUUUGUUACAGUUUCUCAUAGCACCUUCAAUACUUUACUGAUCUCUUUCAUAAUUGGCAUGUAGGUACCUUCCAUGGACCUCUACCUCUUGAUGAGGUUUGAGGUGACUGGGGUCAUGGUCACGGAGACUAGUAAUAUAUUUUUCCGUCACACUUUUGUUACAGUUUCUCAAAGCACCUUCAAUACUUUACUGAUCUCUUUCAUAUUUGGCAUGUAGGUACCUUGCAUGGACCUCUACCUUUUGGUGAGGUUUGAGGUCACUGGGGUCAAGGUCAUUGAGGCUAAUAAUAGAUUUUUCCGUCAUGCUUUUGUUACAGGUUCUCAUAGCACCCUCAAUACUUUAUCGAUUUCUUUUAUAUUUGGCAUAUAGGUACCUUGCAUGGACCUCUACCUUUUGAUGAGGUUUGAGGUUACUGGGGUCAAGGUCAUUGAGACUAAUAAUUGAUUUUUCUGUCAUGCUUUUGUUACAGUUUCUCAUAGCACCUUCAAUACUUUAUCGAUUUCUUUCAUAUUUGGCAUAUAGGUACCUUGCAUGGACCUCUACCUUUUGAUAAGGUUUGAGGUCACUGGGAUCAAGGUCACCGAGGCUAAUAAUAGAUUUUCCGUCAUGCUUUUGUUUCUUUACCGAUCUCUUUCAUAUUUGGCAUGUAGGUACCUUCCAUGGACCUCUACCUUUUUAUGAGGUUUGAGGUCACUGGGCUCAAGGUCAUCAAGGAUAAUGAUAGAUUUUCCGUCAAGCUUUUCUUACAUUUUAUCAUAGGGCCUUCAAUACUUUACUGAUCUCUUACAUAUUUGCCAUGUAGGUGCCUUGCAUGGACCUCUACCUUUUGAUGAGGUUUGAGGUCAUUGGGCUCAAGGUCACCGAGGCUAUUAAUAUAUUUUCCGUCACGCUUUUGUAACAGUUACUCAUAGCACCUUCAAUACUUUACCGAUCUCUUCCAUAUUUGGCACGUUGGUACCUUGCAUGGGCCACUACCUUUUGAUUAGGUUUGAGGUCACUGGGGUCAAGGUCAAGGUCACCGAGGCUAAUAAAAGAUUUUUUAGGUGGUUAGUAACACAUAGAUUGACAAAGCGCAUCAUCGGGGAGCAUCCAUCAGUUUCACUGAUAUUCUUGUUUCAUUUUGUUCCUACAUCAAGAAUUCUGGUUGCUAUGGCAACAGAUAGACUAGAAGUAUUGCUGAAAAUAGUGGAUCCUGCGCUAACUUAAAAAGUUCUCGUAUUUUUUCAUGAAACUUGAAAGAUGGAUAGAUGGCAAUUUGAACAUUUGGACGUUUGCUCUCUGUCUGUCAGUCCGUCCGUCUGUCUGUCACACCUUUCUGGACCCUGCGAUAACUUUUAAAGUUCGUCAUAUUUCAUCAUGAAAUUUGAGACAUAGAUAGCAAUAUGGAGAUUAUGCGCCUAAUUUCAUUUUGUUCCUACAUCAAGAAUUAUGGUUGCUAAGGCAACAGAUAGACUAGAAUUAUUGCUGAAAAUAGUGGAUCCUGCGCUAACUUAAAAAGUUCUUCAUAUUUUUUCAUGAAACUUGAAACAUGGAUAGAUGGCAAUAUGGACAUUAUGCACGUCAUUUCAUUUUGUUCCUACUUUAAGAAUUCUGGUUGCUAUGGCAACACAUAUAAGAAAAAUAAAAAAAAUCUGACAAAGGUGGAGUUUCACCGAUAGGGGACCAUAUAGCUUGCCAAUCUUUGUUAUAUAUUCACAUUUCCAUGACAAUUUAUUUUAUGAUUUUUCCAGCUGUAUACUGUAUCAUAUGUAAAUCAUGAUUGUGUUGGUAUGCUUGUUUUUUUUUAAAUGCCCCAUGCUGCUAAAAAAAUUGUAUUGUUCAUGCUUAAAUACUUUUGUAUCAAGUAUUCUCAUAAGGUCAUUUGUCACGAUGAAACAGUUACAUCAAGAACAAUUAUCACAAUAGAUCAUCUACAAUUUUGUUGUGUAAAGAGAAUCGUUAAUUGGGAUAUUCUUACUUGUACUUAUACUCGUGCCAAUAUUAAAACAGACGUUAUUCCAAAGGAUAAACCAUUCUCGAAUUUACAGAGAAAACUAUUCCUUAUGGAUUCAUCUAUAAUUUAUUUUCGUAAUAGGUGGUUGUCAAUACCGAAAUACUUAACUUAAACUGACAAUCAUGCUCAGAUUACUAUUUCACAAAUAUCUAUAACAAUGUUAAAAGCAAUUGAUAUAUAUGUCUCGAACGCUACAUCCUCUUUAUGUCACCCAGUCUAUACUUGGGGACAUAUUGUUUUUGCCCUGUCUGUUUGUUGGUUUGUUUGCAUCAAACUUUAACAUUGGCCAUAACCUUGCAAUAUUGAAGAUAAGCAGCUUGAUAUUUGGCAUGCAUGUGUACCUCCUGGAGCUGCACAUUUUGAGAGGUGAUAGGUCAAGGUCAUCCUUCAAGGUCAAAGAUAUGCAGAGGGACAUGUAUAUAUUCAUAUUAUAUAGGAUACUUUGUUGUUUAAGCUUUUUGACGGAAUAUCAGAUCAUUACUGUUAGCGUUGUUUUGGUUGUAAAGUUGUGAUACAGUGGUAUUUAUAUGUCCACCACCACUAUAGUAGGGGACAUAUUGAUUUUGCCCUGGUAGUUGGUUUGUUUGUUUGUUUGCGUCAAACUUUAACAUUUGCUAUAACUUUUGCAACAUUGAAGAUAGCAACUUGAUAUGUGGCAUGCAUGUGUAUCUCAUGGAGCUGCACAUUUUGAGUGGUGAAAGGUCAUCCUUCAAGGUCAAAGGUCAAAUAUAUAGCUUCAAAGCGGCGCAGAAGGGAACAAACACAUAUGUUGUUUUUAAUGUAAUCAAAUUGAUUCAUUCUCCAUUUUAUUAAAAGCAUAUGUAUUCUUACAUUGUUAAGUGUAUAUCGAUCUACUGAACACUAAGACAUCAUCAUGUAUUCUAAAUCAGUCUUUAUAUAUCUUCUGCACAUGGUACAUUAUAUUUAGGUGUUUUUCUCAAAUCAUUGUCAAUUUGAAAUUAACUCAGAUUGGAAGUUUUAAUAUACUUUAGAUUUAGCAUUUUCCUAUGUUCAUGAUUUUAUUUGUGUUUAUGGUGUCGCUUUGGUUCAGCUUGUUUUUCUGAUACUGUAGAUGUUGUUGAGUACUGAUAGGUAAUUAGUAAGGUAUGUAAAACUUAGCUUAACACUUAUGGACAAUGUUUUUACAUAGACUAAUUGAAUGUAUGUUUAGUCAUGUUAUUAAUUGCUUGCAAUAUUUUAAUAUUGUGAAUCGAUGUAUGAAAAAUAAA